CCCUUAGAUGUUCUGGGCUGCACGCGCGCUACACUGAAGCUAUCAACACGUUUUCCCUCCCUGAGAAGGUCGGGUAACCUUUUGAAUCAGCUUCGUGGUAGGGAUCGGGGCUUGCAAUUGUUCCCCGUGAACCAGGAAUUCCUAGUAGACGCGAGUCAUAAGCUCGCAUCGAUUAAGUCCCUGCCCUUUGUACACACCGCCCGUCGCUACUACCGAUUGAACGUUUUAGUGAGGCAUUUGGACCGACGCAUCUCAGUUUAACCGCUGGUUUGUGUUGGAAAGACUUCCAAACUUGAGCGUUUAGAGGAAGUAAAAGUCGUAACA
rnacentral:rRNA from 1 species